rnacentral:misc_RNA from 1 species
ACAGUAUCUGAUCUGAACUUACCAGAAGAUGGUGGAACUGUUACAUGCUAGAGCGGUGAUUAUAGGAUUAAUCCUGGUCCAGUGUCUCUCUGUAUCACUGGGUGCUGUGGACAAGGACCUGCUGGAGACCUGCUGUUUGAAGGGAACACAGUAUGCCACAGACUCGGCCACAUGUGAGGGGUACUCCACGACUGUUCCCGGGGUGGGGGUCGGGGACCAGUUCAGCUGUCUUUCCAUCCUUAAGGUCUGCUGCAUGAAGCAGAAGCAGAGAGACCAGUGUCAGAGCGGCAAGACAGACGCCCAGAACUUUGGCCGCUGUGCCAUCAGAGAUGACAUGUUCGGAGCAGAGCAAUAUAAGGAGUGCUGUAACUGUUGUCAGCUGGGACUGACCACUAGGACUAUGAGAGGAGACUGCUCGCUGUUACAGAGGGAGAACUUUGGGGGGCCGUGUGACGCCACCUUCAGCGAGUGUUGUCUGGGGUCAGCAUCACUCAACAGCACCACGCCGGUGAAUGACAUUGAUGAGUGUGCUCUCCACCGCGGUCACAUCUGUGGACAGAUCUGUGUGAACACAAUCGGUAGUUAUCGCUGCGAGUGUAACCCAGGGUUUACCUUACACAGCGAUGGAAGCACCUGCAUUGAAGAUGAACCUGAUAGAUGUGAGAGCUACAACCCCUGUCAACAGCGAUGUGUCGAAGAUGAAAAUGGCAUCAGCUGUGCCUGUAACCAAGGUUACGCACUGCAAGCAGAUGGCAUCAACUGUCAAGAUAUUGAUGAGUGCGCAUCGGGAUCAGCAAACUGCCCCCAGGGUCAGGGAUGCUAUAACCAGGAGGGGUCGUAUCGGUGUCGAGCCUGUCCCCCAGGGUCAGAGGUUGACCCGGCCACAAGGGUUUGUCGAACGGUCCCCCAGUGUACCCGUGGGUUCUCCUAUAACACAGCCACAGGCUCAUGUCAAGAUACGGAUGAAUGUGCAGCUGAUUUGGACACCUGUACGGAGAGACAGCGCUGUGAGAACACGGUCGGAUCCUUUGUUUGUCGAAGGAUCCUUGGAUGUGGGACGGGAUACUCCAUGGUAGAAGAGACUCAAACUUGUAGAGAUAUUGAUGAGUGUGCCCUGGGAACUCAUAACUGUCCCAAUGGCUAUGAGUGUCUGAACAUUGAAGGCUCAUUCAGGUGUAGACAGCCCGCCUGUCAGCGAGGGACUCGGUUCUCAGGGGCCACAGGUCGGUGUGAGCCCAUCAAUUGUCCCCGGGGGAGGGAGGCGGACUCACUAGGAAUGUGUGUGGAUAUAGACGAAUGUAAACAGUCAGGGGUCUGUCUCUCCACGGAGCGCUGUAUCAACACCUACGGUUCGUACCGCUGUAUCCGUGACACUUCCUGUCCAGUGGGUCACCAGGUCAACCCCCUCACCAAGGCCUGUGAAGACAUUGAUGAGUGCACUCGAGGUGUACACACCUGUGAGAGUGACCAGGAGUGUGUUAACACGGCCGGAAGCUUUGGAUGUACCUGUGGGGCGGGGUACCGUCGAGACUCCCAGGGCAACUGUGAAGAUAUCAAUGAGUGCUCUUAUGGCAACAUUUGUCCUUAUAAUGGAGUCUGUGAAAAUACACCAGGAAGUUACAAAUGUAACUGUAAUGCUGGCACUGAACAAAAGGGGAGCUCCUGUGUAGAUAUUGAUGAGUGUAAGGAUAGGAACCGAUGUGAACACAGCUGUGUGAAUGUGGUGGGAUCCUACGAAUGUACCUGUAGACCAGGCUACAAGCUUAACCCAGGACGUGGAGCUGGAACUGACCAUGCAGAUUACAGACCUCAGGUCUCGCUACACAGGGACGGCGGUCUCCAAAAUAUUCCUGUAUGUGACGGGGGAUAGUGUGGUGUAGGCCGGGGGGUAGGUGUUGUUUAUGGGAUAUUUCUUCUAUGUGUGCUGGUAUCUGGUGUAUAUUGGUGUCUAGCAGAGGGUUCCACACUACGUAAAAGUAUCUGAUGUUUAGUUAUGAGAGAAAUUAUCGAGUGAUAUUGAAAUAAUAUUGUAUAAAGAAAUAAAAAAUUUGGUAUCUUUUAUAACAUCAAAAUACAGGCCUUUUCCCUGUCUCACUUUCUUAGUGCUUUUUAAAAAUACAUUGAGUCUGUUAUGUUAAGUGUUCAUUUAUAUGCAUGCAUUAAAGAUGUUGAUUUUUCAUAUAUAUAUUGCACAUGAACAUAAUGAUUUGUGUAAGAAUUAGAAUUAAAUUUUUAAAGU